rnacentral:rRNA from 1 species
GACGAACGCUGGCGGCGUGCUUAAUACAUGCAAGUCGAACGGAAAGGCCCGGCUUUUGCGGGGUGCUCGAUUGGCGAACGGGUGAGUAACACGCGUGUAACCCGCCCUUGACAUUGGGAUAACUUUAGGAAACUGCGGCUAAUACCGGAUAUGAGCUCUUGCUGCAUGGUGUGGGUUGGAGAGUGUCGGCGGUUGGGGAUGGACUCGCGGCUUAUCAGCUUGUUGGUGUGGUAGUGGCUUCCCAAGGUUUUGACGGGUAGCCGGCCUUGGAGGGGGACCGGCGACCAUGGGACUGAGGGACGGCGCAGACGGCUACCGGCCGCAGCAGUGGAGAAUAUUGCGCAAUGGGCGGAAGUCAGAUGCAGCAGCGCUGCGUGCGUAAUAACGGCCUACGGGUUAUAAACAGCUUUGGACUGUAACAAAGCGUGAGUGACGGUAAUGGGUAAAAAAGCAACGGCUAACUACGUG